rnacentral:lncRNA from 1 species
CUGAUCAUCGAGACACCGAGGUAUUUUUGCAGGCGUCGACAGGACUCGACGUCUCCUCUAUCUUUACUUUUCAGCCUGUUAUCUCAUGUAUUCGGGACAAACAUCUUUAUAUUUCCUUCAGACGGUUGUUUUUAGUAUUCUUAGAUGUUCGUGAGUAUUGUGGCACCAGUUCUUGGUUAGUGUAUUAUGUUUGGAUUUCUGUAUCGCAUCUAGUGAAAUUUACUAAGCCUUCCAUUAAAUUUAUCUAUUCCAUAGUAAUCAUAUUUUUAUUGCUAAUUAUUUUAAAAUAAGUAUUGUUAAAAAUGGAAGGAUAAGAAAGGGUUGGCUUGCCUAGCUCCCAUUAGUAGGCGCCAUCACGACUCCCGAUUGGGGGAGGGGGAAUUCGGGUCGUGACAAGUUGGUAUCAGAGCACUAGGUUACAUAGGUAUCACAACUCACGGACAAUCUUAGUAAAGCCUGAGGGAUCGGUACAGAGAUGUCUGCAUUUAUCCCCAGAGGCUACAGAGUUAGGAAAAUUUCACCUUCAUUCUUUCCUGUCGUGCAAAUUUGUUCUUCAAGUGCUAAUUGAAUUUCUACUCUAUUCUUCCACAGAUGGCAAGAACACGCGCUUCCUCAUCUAAUGAUCAUCAGCUCGAGGCCCCAGCAGCAACUCCAGCUAGAGGCAGAGGCCGAGGUUGAUGCCGUCCUAGAGGCCGAGGUAGGGGCUGAGCUCAGUCCCGAGCAACAGCACCAAUGGCGGAGCCUCAGGUUCAGAUUGAGGAGGAGGUUCCGGCCCCAACUGAUCCAGUGGGCCCAGCUCAAGUCCCAGAAGGAUUUAUUGCCACCCCAGUUCUUCAGGAUGCUUUAGUCAGGUAGGUUGGUUUUAUGAAGGGCAUUUCUAGAGAGGGUUUUCUUCCAACAGCACCAGCCAAAUCUCAGGCUGGAGGGACCCCUACUCCUGCUACACGUGCUCCGGAACGAGUAGUUCCUAGGUUCUGGCCCCAGUAGUUCAGCCAGCUGCGACAGUCCAGCCGGGUAUAGUAGUUCAUACUGGUGAAGGUGCAGCUAUGUGUGCUAAUGCUUUAUGGAGAUUGGACAGAUUCACCAUGCUCUUCAUUCUCACAUAUAGUGGCACUCUUUUCGAGGAUGCUCAGAAUUUCAUAUUCAGCUUCCAUGAGGUUCUAAGAACUAUGAGUAUUUUGGCAAUGGGGUCGACUUCGCCACUUUUCGCCUAGCACGAUCCGCCAAGACUUGGUGGAGGGAUUUCUAUUUAGCCAGGUCAAUAGGGUCGCCAUCAUUGACCUGGAACCAUUUUUCAGAGUUAUUUCUAGGGAAGUUUCUCCCAGUCACUCAGCAGGAUGCUCUCCGCAGGCAGUUCGAGCAUCUCCAUCAGGGUACUAUGACAGUCACCCAGUACGAGACUCGGUUCAUUGAUCUCGCUCACCAUGUUAUUGUGAUACUUCCCAUUGACAGCAAGAGGGUGAUAAGGUUUAUUGAUGGCUUGAAUCAGCCGAUUCGUGUUUAGAUGGCCAUGAGUGCCGGUACUGAUAUUUCAUUUUAGGAAGGAGAUGGUGCCCGUCAGAUAGAGAUGGCACUUGCUCAGUGAGGUGGUCAUGGGUCGGAUAAGAGGCCCCAUAGUUCAGGCGGAUUUAGUGGUACCUCGUAUGGAGGUAGAGAUUCUUAUGGUAGAGGCCAUCCUCCUAUGCCUUUUCAGUCAACUCUUCAGGCUUCUCACGGUUCUUCAAGUGGUCGUGAUUUCCAAUCGCAGUAUUCUGAACAACAUCUCUUCUGUUCACCUUCAGUGCCUAUCAGUGCACCGCCAAUUUGCUAUUCUCAGUAGCCGAGGGCUUGUUACACCUGCGGCGAUACGAGACACAUUGCCAAGCAUUGCCCUCGAGCUUCCAGCAGCUCCCAGCAGCAGGGUUCUCGUGCUUUGAUUCCAGCAACGGAUGCUCCACAGCCUGCCCAACCAUCUAGAGGAGGCGGCAGGGGUACUAGAGGUGGAGGUAUAGGUCAUAGAGGUGGAGCUCAGACCGACAGAGGUAGAGGUCAGCCAGAACCUGAUCGUUCCAGAGAUAUUGCUCAGGGUAGUGGGGCCCAUCCCCGACGCUAUGCACUUCAGGUCAGACCAGAGGCUAAGUCCUCAGAUGCAGUUAUUACAGCUACUAUUCUGGUUUGUGAUUGAGAAUCUUUAGUGCUAUUUGACCCCGGGUCUACAUAUUCAUACGUGUCUUCUUAUUUUUCACCGUACCUGGUUCAGCCUAGUGAUUCAUUGGGUGUUCCUGUUUAUGUGUCUACACCUGUGGGUGAUUCUAUUGUGGUUGAUCGAGUUCAUCGAUCUUGUGUUGUGGUGAUUGGGGGUCUUGCGACCCAUGUUGAUUUAUUGAUUCUAAAUAUGGUUGAUUUCGAUAUCAUAUUGGGGAUGGGCUGGCUAUCUCCAUAUCAUGCUAUCUUGGAUUGUCAUGCCAAGACUGUAACUUUAGCUCUGACGAAUUUGCCUCGAAUAGAAUGGAAGGGAAUGUCUGGUCAUAUUAGCCGCAAUGUUAUUUCAUAUAUUAAGGCUUAGCAUAUGGUUGAAAAGGGUGUUUGGCUUAUCUAGCAUAUGUUCGCGAUUCCGGCACCGAGGUUCCUUCUAUUGAUUCGGUGCCCGUGGUUCGCAAGUUUCUUGAAGUUUUCCCUUCAGACCUGCCGGGUAUGCCACCCAAUAGAGAUAUUGAUUUUUUCAUUGAUCUAUCUUCAGGCACUCAGCCCAUUUCUAUUCCUCCAUAUCGUCUGGCCCCGCCGGAAUUAAAAGAAUUGAAGGAACAGUUGCAGGAUUUAAUUAAAAAGCUUUUCAUCAGACCCAGUGUUUCGCCGUGGGGUACGCCGGUAUUAUUUGUUAAGAAGAAGGAUGGUUCGAUGCGAAUGCACAUCGAUUACCGGCAAUUAAACAAGGUUACAAUCAAGAACAAGUAUCCACUACCGCAGAUUGAUGGUUUAUUUGACUAAGUUCAGGGUGCCAAGGUAUUUUCAAAAAUAGACUUGAGAUCUGGCUACCAUCAGUUGAAGAUUAGGGCAUAGGAUGUUUCUAAGACAGCUUUCCGCACGCGGUACGGACAUUAUGAAUUUUUGUUCAUGACUUUUGGGCUGACAAAUGCCCCCGCAACCUUUAUUUAAUUGAUGAACAGAGUGUUCAUGCCUUAUUUAGACUUGUUCGUGAUCGUUUUCAUUGAUGACAUAUUGAUAUACUCUCGCAGCCAAGAGGAGCAUGCGCAUCCUCUCAGAGUGGCUCUUCAGACUUUGAAGAAUAGUCAGCUAUAUGCCAAAGUUUCAAAAUGUGAAUUUUGGCUAAGUUCAGUUGCAUUUCUGGGUCAUGUUGUGACGGCAGAAGGUAUUCAGGUUGAUCCAAGAAAGAUUGAGGCAGUCAAGAACUGGCCUACACCAGCAUAAGCUACAGAGAUCCGGAGUUUCUUGGGAUUAGCAGGUUAUUAUCGGCAAUUUGUGUAAGGGUUUCCAUAUAUUGCAACCCCGAUGACCAGAUCGACCCAUUAGGGUGUCCAGUUUGUAUGGUCAGAUGAAGGUGAGAUGAGCUUUCAGAAGCUCAAGAUAGCCUUGACCACAACACCGGUGUUGGUUUUGCCCAUAGGUUCGGGACCUUAUACUAUUUAUUGUGAUGCUUCCCGUAUUGGGCUUGGUGCGGUAUUGAUGCAGGAUGGCAAGGUUAUUGCCUAUGCUUCGAGGCAGCUGAAGAUUCAUGAAAAGAACUAUCCAGUUCAUGACUUAGAGUUGGCGGAUUGUUCAUGCAUUGAAGAUUUGGAGGCAUUAUUUGUAUGGCGUAGCAUGUGAAGUAUUCACUGAUCACAAAAGCCUUCAGUACAUGUUUAAACAUAAGGAGUUGAAUUUGAGGCAAAGAAGAUGGUUGGAAUUGUUGAAAGAUUAUGACAUCACCAUUCUAUAUCACUCGGGAAAGGCAAAUGUGGUUGUCGAUGCUUUAAGCAGGAAGUCAGCCAGUAUGGGCAGUCUUGCUUAUAUUCCGGUCAGUCAGAGGACUCUUGCUAUGGAUGUUCAGCCUUAGCCAAUCGCUUUGUGAGGUUGGAUAUUUUUGAGUCUAGUCGAGUGCUAGCUUUCACGGUCGCUCGCUCUUCAUUAUUUGAGCGUAUCUGCAAUUGACAGUUUGAUAAUUGCUAUCCUUAAAGACACGGUUUAGCGAGGAGGUGCCAAGCAGGUCACCUUAGAUGCUGAUGGAGUUCUGAGAUUGCAAGGGCGAAUUUGUGUGCCAGAUGUUGAUGGACUUCGAUAAUUGAUUCUAUAAGAAGCUCAUUGUUCCCGGUAUUCUAUUCAUCCAGGAGCAGAAAAGGUGUAUCAGGAUUUGCGGCAACAUUAUUGGUGGCACAGAAUGAAAAAGGAUAUUAUGGCAUAUGUAGCGCGGUGUUUGAAUUGUCAACAGGUUAAUAUGAGCAUCAGAGGCCUGGGAGUUUAUUUCAGAAAAUUGAGCUUCCCGAGUGGAAGUGUGAGCGGAUCACUAUGGACUUUGUUACUAGACUUCUGCUGAAUUAGAAGAAGUUCGACUCAAUAUGUGCCAGAUGUUAAUGGGCUUCGAGAGUUGAUUCUAGAAGAGGCUCACAACUCCCGGUAUUCUAUUCAUCCAGGCGCAUCAAAGAUGUAUCAGGAUUUACAGCAACAUUUUUGGUGGUGCAAAAUGAAAAAGGAUAUUGUGGAAUAUGUAGCUGCGGUGUUUGAAUUGUCAACAUGUUUAAUAUGAGCAUCAGAGACCGGGUGGUCUAUUGCAGAAAAUUGAACUUCCCGAGUGGAAGUGGGAGCGGAUCACUAUAGACUUUGUUACUGGUCUUCCAAUGACUCGGAAGAAGUUUGAUGCGGUUUGGGUUAUUGUUGAUAGGCUGACCAAGUCAGUACAUUUUUUUCCUGUUGCCACCACUUACUCGUCCGAGAGGUUAGCGGGGAUUUAUAUCAGGGAGAUUGUUCGCCUUCAUAGGGUGCCUAUAUCUAUCAUAUCGGAUCGAGGACUGCAAUUCACCUCACAUUUCAGGAAGGCGUUUUAGAAAGGGCUGGGCACCCAAUUUCAGCUGAGUACAACAUUUCAUCACCAAAUGGACGGUCAGUCCGAGAGGACUAUUCAGAUAUUGGAGAAUAUGCUCCGAGCUUGUGUCGUUGAUUUUGGAGGUUCGUGGGGAUCAAUUCUUACCUUUGGCAGAGUUUUCUUAUAAUAACAACUAUCAAUCGAGCAUUUAGAUGGUUCUUAUGAAGCCUUGUAUGGUAGACGUGCCGUUCUCCAGUUGGAUGGUUUGAAACGGGAGAGGCUCGGUUGUUGGGUACGGAUAUAGUUCAAGAGGCCUUAGAUAAGGUCAAGAUUAUUCAGGAUAGGCUUCGUAUAGCUCAGUCCAGACAUAAGAGUUAUGCAUAUCGCAAGGUUAGAGACUUAGCUUUUAUGACUGGUGAGCGGGUAUUACUCCGUGUAUCGCCUAUGAAGGGCGUAAUGAGAUUUGGUAAGAAGGGAUAGCUUAGCCCUAGGUUUAUUGGCCUAUUCGAGAUCCUUGAUCGUGUGGGAAAGGUGGCUCAUAAACUUGCUUUGCCACCUAAUUUGUCAGCUGUGCAUCCAGUGUUUCAUGUAUCCGUGCUCCGAAAAUAUCACGGCGAUCCAUCCCACGUAUUAGAUUUCAGAACUGUCCAAUUGGACAAAGAUCUGUCUUAUGAGGAGGAGCCGGUGGUUAUAUUAGACCGAUAGGUUUGACAGUUGAGGUCGAAGAGUUUCCCUUCUGUGCGUGUUCAGUGGAGAGGUCAUCCUCCAGAGGCAUCGACCUAGUAGUCCAGUCUGACAUGCGGAGCCAUUAUUCUCAUCUAUUCCCUUACUUAGGUACUUCUUUCUUUUGUCCGUUCGAGGACGAACGAUUGUUUUAAAGGUGGAGAAUGUGAAUGCGCAAAGGAUCAUCACUUGUUUUCUUAGUCAAUAUGUGCUUCCGAAGUCUUGAAAAUCUCAUUUAGAGUUGUCUCGAUUUGCGCGUGCAAUCCGGGCCGGUAGUUGGAAAACUUAAAUAUAAAAUUCUAAAAAUAAAAUGAUGAAAUUUCGGUAUAAAAUGCGUAAAUUUGAUUUUGAUCAAUAUUUUGGGUAAACGGACUCGGACCCGUGAAUUGAGAAGUUGUAGUGUUUAUAUGAGGUUAGAAAAAUUAUAAGUUAAGGAGAGAUACAUAUUUUUACAUGGAUGUUUUAAUAAAAUAAUAGCAUAUGUAUUUAUUUAUUUUAUAUGCUCUCACAUAACCAUAAUAGUAAGUUAUAUAGAGUGUAUUAAAAGUGAGUAGUAUUUUAAGUAAUUUGAGAUAAUUCAUAAUUACGCGGAGUAAAUCGGUCAUUAUCUAAUAUAGUUGGGAUAAUACACUAUGUGGCCGACACCUUUAUACAAGUGGUGACUAUUAAUAUAGUCAAUAUAGGUGGAAACCAUGUUAAAGACACAUUCCAUUAGCAAUUCUAUAAGUUCGGUGAUUGGGUAGAAAUAUUUUAUAGAAAAGAAAAUGAUCACUUGAUGAAUAUUGUCAGAUGAAAAACGUUUUGUUCUUCCACUAUUCUGUUUGAAAUAGAAGCAUGGCCAAAAGCUUUUCAUCCAUGCCAAAAGCCAACCUAUUUUGUUCCUACAGUUUCAGACUAGUGAAAAUUUCUCGUGCAAAAUUCUUGUUCUCUUAUUCUUGCGUAUAGACUUCAUUUGGAUAUUUAAGAGAAUCGGUUCAGAUUCGAGCGGUUUUGUAAUGAAUUCAAGGGGUAAAACUAUACUAGAGGCUUGAGUUAAUUUUGGAGCUUUCGAGGUAAGUGUUUGUUCUAAUUUUUGCUUGAGGGAGUAGGAUUAGCAUAUUAAUUGCUAAUUGCUAAAUGUGAAGUACGAUGUAUAAGUAUGAUGACGAGUAUCUAUGGACCAGAGUCUAGCAUAACUGUGGGUCUUAAUUGUGUAUAUCCGGAUUGUGUAAUACUUAUUCCCUGUUAAAUUUAUAAGUUUCAUAUAAUUAGUCUUUUCUUAACUUUGAUAUUUGGUGAAACAACGGUUUAACAAAGAAAGAACGUACUUUUAAUUAUGAAAUAAGUUUAAACAGCACAAAACGUUUAAGAAGUAGUAGUAAGAGAAAGCAGUGGAUAAAAAUAAAAAAUAAAAAAAAUCAAAAGAGGAAAUUAACAUUACCUGGGAAAGGAGAAGCAAGUAGUUAUCUUUCCUUAGUCUUCUAUAGAACAGACAGACAUCGUAACCCUUUAUUUAGCUAGUUGUGGGACGUAGAUAGAAGUGUUUUAAUCUACGUAGGAUUGGUAUAACUUUUGGAACUUCAACGUAUUGGCAGGACAUUGGUUAGUAUUAGAGUUCAACGCAAAUUUCUAUUUGAGAUAUGUUCUCAAUUUUACAAUUAUAUCCAAUAGUUAUUUAGCGUUUGAAUAAUUAUUUUAGCUAUUAAAGGAUAUAAAAGUAGAUCAAUAUUAUUUUAUGGGUAUUUUUAUCAUUCGACAUUUAGCGUAAAUUAUUCGUACUUUUAUAAUAAUAUAAAUGUGAAAGAUUUGAGGAAGAAUUAAACAAAUGAGGAAGUGUUGUAAUUAUUUCCCUUUCCGGGACGUAUUGUUCAGUGUUGCUAUUGCUCCCUUGAUGGGAUUUAGGUAUUAUAUGCUCUCCUUUGCCGGGAUAUUUGGGCUGUUAGCUGUACCCUUGCCGGGUUAAAGUGUUAUGCUGUUGAAUUUCCCCAACGGGGCUUUCUUUACAAAAUCAGAUAUUAUGAACUAUAAUAUGGGAUCGUGUGACACGCCGUCCACUUAUAUAUAUAUUUUAUUAAAUGAGAUCGUGUAGCACGCCGCCCACUUAAAUAUUAUGGAAUCGGAUCGUGUGGCACGCCGUCCACUUAUAAAUUAUGAGAUGGGAUCAUGUGGCACGCUGACCACUUAUAUGUAUAUUUUGGGACCGCGUGGCGCGCCGACCACUUUCUGAGUUGUGGACGAUACAGUUUUCAUUGUUAUUCUAAAUUAUUAGAUUUCAGUGUAUCUUCCCUAAGCAUACCCCCUCCCAGACUUAUUGAUGUUUCUGUUUUUAUUUCUGUUGCUCUUGCAUAUAUAUAUAUAUAUAUAUAUAUGUACAUGUUGGUUUUGGUAGGUCCUGUCCAGCACAUGGAGUCGGUUGUGCUGGUUCUACACUCUGUGCUCUCUUUGCGCAGGUACAGGUCACGGACAGCUGCAACAGCAGCAGUAGUGCGGGUGUUAGUAUCCUGAUCAUCGAGACACCGAAGUAGUUUUGCAGGCGUCCGCAGGACCCGGCGUCUCCUCUAUCUUUACUUUUCAGUAUGUUAUCUCAUGUAUUCGAGACAAACAUCUUUAUAUUUCUUUCAGACAGUUACUUUUAGUAUUCUUAGAAGUUUGUGAGUAUUGUGACACCAGUUCUUGGGUAGUGUAUUACGUUUGCGUAUCACAUCUAGUGAAAUUUACUAAGCCUUCCGUAAAAUUUAUUCCAUAGUAAUCAUAUUUUUAUUGCUAAUUGUGUUAAAAUAAAUAUUGUGAAAAAUGGAAGGAUAAGAAAGUGUUGGCUUUCCUAGCUCCCAUUAGUAGGCGCCAUCACGAUUCCGAUAGGAGAAAAUUCGGGUUAUGACAUAUAAAGUAUUGAAUAGUGUGUAUUAAUAAUGCUAUGAUUAAUAAUAAAGAAAUUAGUUAUGCUCCAAUUAUUUCUUAUCAACUAUUUAGUUUGAUGUAUUAAAAACAAUAUGCAUCGCAUAAUUUUUUUAACAAAUUAUU